GAUGAACGCUGGCGGCGUGCCUAAUACAUGCAAGUCGAACGAAACUUCUUUAUCACCGAGUGCUUGCACUCACCGAUAAAGAGUUGAGUGGCGAACGGGUGAGUAACACGUGGGCAACCUGCCCAAAAGAGGGGGAUAACACUUGGAAACAGGUGCUAAUACCGCAUAACCAUAGUUACCGCAUGGUAACUAUGUAAAAGGUGGCUAUACUACCGCUUUUGGAUGGGCCCGCGGCGCAUUAGCUAGUUGGUAGGGUAAAGGCUUACCAAGGCAAUGAUGCGUAGCCGAAUUGAGAGGUUGAUCGGCCACAUUGGGACUGAGACACGGCCCAAACUCCUACGGGAGGCAGCAGUAGGGAAUCUUCCACAAUGGGCGAAAGCCUGAUGGAGCAACGCCGCGUGGGUGAAGAAGGUCUUCGGAUCGUAAAACCCUGUUGUUAGAGAAGAAAGUGCGUGGGAGUAACUGUUCACGUUUCGACGGUAUCUAACCAGAAAGCCACGGCUAACUACGUG
rnacentral:rRNA from 1 species